rnacentral:sRNA from 1 species
UUGUGAGGUGUAAAUAAGAUAAUUAUCAAUCCCUCAGUACAAUCCCUGGCAUUUAGUAAGUGCUUAAUAAAUUUUAGCUAUUUUAUUUGUAUUAUCAUUAUUAUUCCCUAAGGCCAAUCUUCUAUGCCAUCUUUUCUACUUUUCUAGGAAAUAUUCUUCUCCCUCUGUGAGCUCCCCUGGAUCCUGUUCAUUUGUUUUAGGAGGGUGGAAGGUUCCUUGAGAGAGUCCUAGCUAUUCCCUGUUCAGCAGUGAAGCCCAAGGAGUUCUGGAAAUGCAGGAGGGACCUUCGGGUGCAGGGCUUGGCCCACAGACAGGCCUACCAGGGCAUCUGAUAUAUCUAGGAAGUAACAAGGAGCCCUGGAGGCAGGCCAGGCCUGUGGCAAAGGGACCUAGAUCAUGUGGGACCCGCCCAGUCCCUGCAUCUCUCCCCCUCUCCCUGGAGGUUGGAUGGGCCCUUUCUUCAGCAGGUGUUUGCUCAUGUCUCAUGCCUGAGGUGGGGCUCUUGGCCAUAGUGAGUAUUGGUGGAGUGAGCAACCCGCCCUCAGGGAACCCACACUCAGGAACUUUACACUGCUGUGGUGGAGUUCACGUGGGGGGCUGUGAGAGCCACUGUGCAGUGCUGGCUCAGGGGUCUGGAAAAGGUUUCUGGGAGGGCAUGGGAACAAAACUAGGUCUGAAUGAUGAGGCAGAGCUAGUGAGUCAGGCGAGGGGGUGCAGAGGGAUCACAGUGCAGAGGCCAAGGCAGUGAAAAAAGUGGCGUGGAUGGUGACAUGUAGGAGUCGAGCAUAAAAUGCGUGGCAAGGUCCUCGGGGGUACGGUGGGCUGGGGCGGGACCAAGGAGUGUAGUGGAGCUCUCUAUUCCGAGGGGGACAUUGGAAUGUUGAAGGUCACACCACAAGAGAUUUGCUUUGAGAACAUAAAUCCUUCUAGGCACUGGGAGAGUGGAAUGGAGAUGAGGGGCCUGGAGGCAGAAAGGCUGUCUGGAAAAAGUUAGUGGUGGAAUUGGUGGAAGACAUCUGAGAGCCUGGACUAGUGGUGGUGAGGGGGGAAAGAAGUGGAGAGAUGCCGGAGAUACUAGGAGAGAUGACAGAUUUGGGUUGUUGGGAAGACUACGAAGGAGUGGUUGAAAAUGGUUCCCUGGUAUCUGGUGUAGAAAUUCAUCCGGAUGGGAAUGGAGGAACAGAGAGGGUGAGGAGUUUAGUUCUGGAAUGUGGAAUUUUGCAGAUUCAGGUUAUCAGAGGAAGGGGGCAGGCAGGGAUGCCUAGGGGACAUUUAUGUAUUUGGUUCUGGAAUUCAGGGGAGGCGUAGGCUGGAGGUGCAGAUGAGAGAUGUCAGCCUGCUACCCAACCAGGCCUUCCUUUUUACAGAAUCACCGAAGAUUCAGCUGUGACCACGUUUGAGGCUCUGAAGGCUCGGGUCAGAGAACUUGAACGGCAGCUAUCUCGUGGGGACCGUUACAAAUGCCUCAUCUGCAUGGACUCGUACUCGAUGCCCCUAACGUCCAUCCAGUGUUGGCACGUGCACUGCGAGGAGUGCUGGCUGCGGACCCUGGUGAGGUGGCAUGGGGGUCGGGGAAUGGGAGGCCGCUCCGGGCACUGCCCAGAUGUCUGUGCUUAUGCCUGAGCCUGCCUGGGGGAAGUGGGGAGCACGGGCCAAAGGAGAACAGAGCCAGGAGCCAGGAUAUUUACCCCCAGGAUAUUUACUCCCAGGCUCGCUGCCUCUCCUCCCCAACUACAGGUUUAGGAACUUCUUCCCCUCCACGAGUUCACUGCAUUCUCCCUUCCCCUCCCCAUGUCCCCCGAAGGCCCACUGCAUCACACAGACUGGUGAGGCCUGGGGUCAGGAGGAGGCUGGCUGUGGGUAAACAGGACCAGGGCCUUGGCCCCUCCCCCUCCCAUUACUAAGCUCCUUCUGCUCCUGCCCCUGUUCUUCGCUCAGGAGCAGCCAUUAAAAUGUCGCCCGGAGACAGCAAUAAAAGGCUCGGACGUGGGCUCUGUGUCCUGAUCAAAGGCCGCGUGUAAUCUCGUUAGGGCUGCGGCUGCCACAGCUGGACCCAGCCUUGUUCUCAUUACCGGGGCUCCUGCUGCGGGGCUGGCCAGGCGGUUUGAUCCUGGCGUUCCCGCAACACAGGAGCGUGCCUGCCUGCUCACAGAAGCUGCCUGUGCAUCCCCAGCCUGGGCUGACAGGACCAAGGUCCCAGCACACACUGGUGCAGAGAGACAUGGCUGCAGGCCCAGGUGCUCACAUGCGCACACGUGGCACAUUGUGUAGACCAGAGCCCUCCCUGUUCUCCCUGCAGGGUGCCAAGAAGCUCUGCCCUCAGUGCAACACGAUCACAGCGCCCGGAGACCUGCGGAGGAUCUACUUGUGAGCUAUCUGCCCCAGGCAGGCCUUGCCUCCAGCAGCCCCACCUGCCCCCAGCCUCUGUGACAGUGACCCUCUCCCUUUGUACAUACUUGCACACAGGUUCCCCAUGUACAUACAUGCACAUACUCACACAUGCGUACACACACACACACACAUUUACACACGCAGGACUCUGGAGCCAGAGUAGAGGCUGUGGCCCAGGCACUACCUGCUGGCUCCCACCUAUGGUUUGGGGGCCAUACCUGUUCCAGCUCUGUUCCCAGGGUGGGGCAGGGAGGUGGGGGUUGGGGGAGUAGUGGGGCACGGCUCCUAAGAUCCAGCCCCCCGACUGACAGACGGGACAGACAGACAUGCAAACACCAGACUGAAGCACAUGUAAUAUAGACCGUGUAUGUUUACAAUGUUGUGUAUAAAUGGGACAACUCCUCGCCCUCUACCUGUCCCCUUCCCCUUUGGUUGUAUGAUUUUCUUCUUUUUUAAGAACCCCUGGAAGCAGUGCCUCCUUCAGGGUUGGCUGGGGGCUCGGCCCAUCCACCUCUUGGGGUACCUGCCUCUCCCUCUCCUGUGGUGUCCCUUCCCCCUCCCAUGUGCUCGGUGUUCAGUGGUGUAUAUUUCUUCUCCCAGACAUGGGGCACACGCCCCAAGGGACGUGAUCCUCUCCUUAGUCUUAGCUCAUGGGGCUCUUUAUAAGGAGUUGGGGGGUAGAGGCAGGAAAUGGGAACCGAGCUGAAGCAGAGGCUGAGUUGGGGGGCUAGAGGACAGUGCUCCUGGCCACCCAGCCUCUGCUGAGAACCAUUCCUGGGAUUAGAGCUGCCUUUCCCAGGGAAAAAGUGUCGUCUCCCCGACCCUCCCGUGGGCCCUAUGGUGUGAUGCUGUGUCUGUAUAUUCUAUACAAAGGUACUUGUCCUUUCCCUUUGUAAACUACAUUUGACAUGGAUUAAACCAGUAUAAACAGUU